AAUGAACGCUGGCGGCAUGCCUAACACAUGCAAGUCGAACGAAGGCUUCGGCCUUAGUGGCGCACGGGUGCGUAACGCGUGGGAAUCUGCCCUCAGGUUCGGAAUAACAGCGAGAAAUUGCUGCUAAUACCGGAUGAUAUCGCGAGAUCAAAGAUUUAUCGCCUGAGGAUGAGCCCGCGUAGGAUUAGCUAGUUGGUGUGGUAAAGGCGCACCAAGGCGACGAUCCUUAGCUGGUCUGAGAGGAUGAUCAGCCACACUGGGACUGAGACACGGCCCAGACUCCUACGGGAGGCAGCAGUGGGGAAUAUUGGACAAUGGGCGAAAGCCUGAUCCAGCAAUGCCGCGUGAGUGAUGAAGGCCUUAGGGUUGUAAAGCUCUUUUACCCGGGACGAUAAUAACAGUACCGGGAGAAUAAGCUCCGGCUAACUCCGUGCCAGCCGCCGCCGUAAUAC
rnacentral:rRNA from 1 species